GACGAACGCUGGCGGCGUGCUUAACACAUGCAAGUCGAGCGGUAAGGCCCUUUCGGGGGUACACGAGCGGCGAACGGGUGAGUAACACGUGGGUGACCUGCCCUUAGCUCUGGGAUAAGCCUGGGAAACUGGGUCUAAUACCGGAUAUGACUCCAUGACGCAUGCUGUGGGGUGGAAAGCCUUGUGCGGCUAGGGAUGGGCCCGCGGCCUAUCAGCUUGUUGGUGGGGUGAUGGCCACCAAGGCGACGACGGGUAGCCGGCCUGAGAGGGCGACCGGCCACACUGGGACUGAGACACGGCCCAGACUCCUACGGGAGGCAGCAGUGGGGAAUCUUGCGCAAUGGGCGAAAGCCUGACGCAGCGACGCCGUGUGAGGGAUGACGGCCUC
rnacentral:rRNA from 1 species